UGGAGCCGUGGCACACAAUCAGCCGUGCCAGUGCUUCCACUAACUCCCUUUCCUGCUCUGUUCCAGGAUAUGACCCAGGACACAUCAUUUAAUCUGAGGAAUGUGCUAUCUAAACUUCCAUGACUAAAGAUCUUCUGAGAAGACUUCUGCUAGAAACAACAAAUGUAUCAACCCAG